GAUUAAGUUAUUAAGGGCGCACGGUGGAUGCCUUGGCACUAGAAGCCGAUGAAGGACGUUACUAACGACGAUAUGCUUUGGGGAGCUGUAAGUAAGCUUUGAUCCAGAGAUUUCCGAAUGGGGAAACCCAGCAUGAGUUAUGUCAUGUUAUCGAUAUGUGAAUACAUAGCAUAUCAGAAGGCACACCCGGAGAACUGAAACAUCUUAGUACCCGGAGGAAGAGAAAGAAAAUUCGAUUCCCUUAGUAGCGGCGAGCGAAACGGGAAGAGCCCAAACCAAAAAGCUUGCUUGUUGGGGUUGUAGGACACUCUAUACGGAGUUACAAAGGACGACAUUAGACGAAUCAUCUGGAAAGAUGAAUCAAAGAAGGUAAUAAUCCUGUAGUCGAAAAUGUUGUCUCUCUUGAGUGGAUCCUGAGUACGACGGAGCACGUGAAAUUCCGUCGGAAUCUGGGAGGACCAUCUCCUAAGGCUAAAUACUCUCUAGUGACCGAUAGUGAACCAGUACCGUGAGGGAAAGGUGAAAAGCACCCCGGAAGGGGAGUGAAAUAGAACCUGAAACCGUGUGCUUACAAGUAGUCAGAGCCCGUUAAUGGGUGAUGGCGUGCCUUUUGUAGAAUGAACCGGCGAGUUACGAUUUGAUGCAAGGUUAAGCAGUAAAUGUGGAGCCGUAGCGAAAGCGAGUCUGAAUAGGGCGUUUAGUAUUUGGUCGUAGACCCGAAACCAGGUGAUCUACCCUUGGUCAGGUUGAAGUUCAGGUAACACUGAAUGGAGGACCGAACCGACUUACGUUGAAAAGUGAGCGGAUGAACUGAGGGUAGCGGAGAAAUUCCAAUCGAACCUGGAGAUAGCUGGUUCUCUCCGAAAUAGCUUUAGGGCUAGCCUCAAGUGAUGAUUAUUGGAGGUAGAGCACUGUUUGGACGAGGGGCCCCUCUCGGGUUACCGAAUUCAGACAAACUCCGAAUGCCAAUUAAUUUAACUUGGGAGUCAGAACAUGGGUGAUAAGGUCCGUGUUCGAAAGGGAAACAGCCCAGACCACCAGCUAAGGUCCCAAAAUAUAUGUUAAGUGGAAAAGGAUGUGGCGUUGCCCAGACAACUAGGAUGUUGGCUUAGAAGCAGCCAUCAUUUAAAGAGUGCGUAAUAGCUCACUAGUCGAGUGACACUGCGCCGAAAAUGUACCGGGGCUAAACAUAUUACCGAAGCUGUGGAUUGUCCUUUGGACAAUGGUAGGAGAGCGUUCUAAGGGCGUUGAAGCAUGAUCGUAAGGACAUGUGGAGCGCUUAGAAGUGAGAAUGCCGGUGUGAGUAGCGAAAGACGGGUGAGAAUCCCGUCCACCGAUUGACUAAGGUUUCCAGAGGAAGGCUCGUCCGCUCUGGGUUAGUCGGGUCCUAAGCUGAGGCCGACAGGCGUAGGCGAUGGAUAACAGGUUGAUAUUCCUGUACCACCUAUAAUCGUUUUAAUCGAUGGGGGGACGCAGUAGGAUAGGCGAAGCGUGCGAUUGGAUUGCACGUCUAAGCAGUAAGGCUGAGUAUUAGGCAAAUCCGGUACUCGUUAAGGCUGAGCUGUGAUGGGGAGAAGACAUUGUGUCUUCGAGUCGUUGAUUUCACACUGCCGAGAAAAGCCUCUAGAUAGAAAAUAGGUGCCCGUACCGCAAACCGACACAGGUAGUCAAGAUGAGAAUUCUAAGGUGAGCGAGCGAACUCUCGUUAAGGAACUCGGCAAAAUGACCCCGUAACUUCGGGAGAAGGGGUGCUCUUUAGGGUUAACGCCCAGAAGAGCCGCAGUGAAUAGGCCCAAGCGACUGUUUAUCAAAAACACAGGUCUCUGCUAAACCGUAAGGUGAUGUAUAGGGGCUGACGCCUGCCCGGUGCUGGAAGGUUAAGAGGAGUGGUUAGCUUCUGCGAAGCUACGAAUCGAAGCCCCAGUAAACGGCGGCCGUAACUAUAACGGUCCUAAGGUAGCGAAAUUCCUUGUCGGGUAAGUUCCGACCCGCACGAAAGGCGUAACGAUUUGGGCACUGUCUCAACGAGAGACUCGGUGAAAUCAUAGUACCUGUGAAGAUGCAGGUUACCCGCGACAGGACGGAAAGACCCCGUGGAGCUUUACUGUAGCCUGAUAUUGAAAUUCGGCACAGCUUGUACAGGAUAGGUAGGAGCCUUUGAAACGUGAGCGCUAGCUUACGUGGAGGCGCUGGUGGGAUACUACCCUAGCUGUGUUGGCUUUCUAACCCGCACCACUUAUCGUGGUGGGAGACAGUGUCAGGCGGGCAGUUUGACUGGGGCGGUCGCCUCCUAAAAGGUAACGGAGGCGCUCAAAGGUUCCCUCAGAAUGGUUGGAAAUCAUUCAUAGAGUGUAAAGGCAUAAGGGAGCUUGACUGCGAGACCUACAAGUCGAGCAGGGUCGAAAGACGGACUUAGUGAUCCGGUGGUUCCGCAUGGAAGGGCCAUCGCUCAACGGAUAAAAGCUACCCCGGGGAUAACAGGCUUAUCUCCCCCAAGAGUUCACAUCGACGGGGAGGUUUGGCACCUCGAUGUCGGCUCAUCGCAUCCUGGGGCUGUAGUCGGUCCCAAGGGUUGGGCUGUUCGCCCAUUAAAGCGGUACGCGAGCUGGGUUCAGAACGUCGUGAGACAGUUCGGUCCCUAUCCGUCGUGGGCGUAGGAAAUUUGAGAGGAGCUGUCCUUAGUACGAGAGGACCGGGAUGGACAUACCUCUGGUGUACCAGUUGUCGUGCCAACGGCAUAGCUGGGUAGCUAUGUGUGGACGGGAUAAGUGCUGAAAGCAUCUAAGCAUGAAGCCCCCCUCAAGAUGAGAUUUCCCAACUUCGGUUAUAAGAUCCCUCAAAGAUGAUGAGGUUAAUAGGUUCGAGGUGGAAGCAUGGUGACAUGUGGAGCUGACGAAUACUAAUCGAUCGAAGACUUAAUCAA
rnacentral:rRNA from 1 species